GCCCAUCAGCUAGUUGGUAGGGUAACGGCCUACCAAGGCGAAGACGGGUAGGGGGCGUGAGAGCGUGACCCCCCACACUGGCACUGGGACACGGGCCAGACUCCUACGGGAGGCAGCAGUGAGGAAUAUUGCGCAAUGAGCGAAAGCUAGACGCAGCAACGCCGCGUGGGUGAUGAAGGCCUUCGGGUCGUAAAACCCUUUUCUGGGGGAAGAGUAAGGACGGUACCCCAGGAAUAAGCCUCGGCUAACUAUGUGCCAGCAGCCGCGGUAAUACAUAGGAGGCAAGCGUUAUCCGGAUUUACUGGGCGUAAAGAGCGUUGAGGCGGCUUCGUAAGUUGGACGUGAAAGCUCCCGGCUUAACUGGGAGAGGCCGUUCAAUACUGCGGGGCUUGAGGGCAGCAGAGGGGGGUGGAAUUUCCGGUGUAGUGGUGAAAUGCGUAGAAUAUCGGAAAGGAACACCAGUGGCGAAGGCGGCCCCCUGGGCUGCUCCUGACGCUGAAGGGCGAAAGCUAGGGUAGCGAACGGGAUUAGAAACCCCGGUAGUCCCUAGCCGUAAACGAUGGAUACUAGGUGUAGGAGGUUAAAAUUCCUUCUGUGCCGGAGCUAACGCGUUAAGUAUCCCGCCUGGGGAGUACGGUCGCAAGGCUAAAACUCAAAGGAAUUGACGGGGGCCCGCACAAGCAGCGGAGCGUGUGGUUUAAUUCGAUGCAACGCGAAGAACCUUACCAGGGCUUGACAUGUAGGUAGUAGUGAAGCGAAAGCGGAACGAUCCUUCGGGAAGCCUACACAGGUGCUGCAUGGCUGUCGUCAGCUCGUGCCGUGAGGUGUUAGGUUAAGUCCUGUAACGAGCGCAACCCCUGCCGUUAGUUACAAGUGCCUAACGGGACUGCCCGGCAAAACUGGGAGGAAGGUGGGGAUGACGUCAAGUCAGCAUGGCCUUUAUGUCCUGGGCUACACACACGCUACAAUGGCCGGUACAAUGGGUUGCCAAGCCGCGAGGCGGAGCCAAUCCUCUAAAGCCGGUCUCAGUUCGAAUUGUAGGCUGCAACCCGCCUGCAUGAAGUUGGAGUUGCUAGUAACCGCAGGUCAGCCACACUGCGGUGAAUACGUUCC
rnacentral:rRNA from 1 species